GAGCCCCUCCAUUCAAAAUCAAACAAGGCCUUGGAAUGAGAUUGAAAUUAGUAAGAUAUCAGAUAAUUCUAAUAUUCACAACAUUUCCUGCUUAAAGGUGUCUGCUGAUGAAUUUGCAGCUAAGAAUAUGAUUGAGGAAUCCAUUAGCAUCAAAAGAAAGUUAAAGUCUUCUUCUGUUUUUGGCUUCCAAGAAAACUUCAUUAUUGUGCAAGAUUCUAAUUCAAACUGCAAUUCUUCACCAAAUGUUGCUGAAAAUUGGGAUUUCAGCUUACAGUCGAGCUUAUGAGCCAUUUUCGAUCAGCAAAAGUUCAUUAAACGUUCUUCAAACAUAUAGGAACCAUGGUACGCCUAUACUUAAGGUCAAGAUCAAUGCGUGGUUUUUCCUAUUCAAGUAAUGUAAGCUUUACUAGUCUGAACCUUCCAUGAAUGUACUGAGGCUAAUAUUAUAGUUUUCUCCGGAUUUUCUAUGUGUCUCUAUCGAUUUCUAUAUGCUGAUGCAAAGAUUUUAUUACUUA